GUGAGGAAUUUUCCGCAAUGGGCGAAAGCCUGACGGAGCAAUGCCGCGUGAAGGAUGAAGGCCUAUGGGUUGUAAACUUCUUUUCUCAGAAAAGAAUUAUGACGGUAUCUGAGGAAUAAGCAUCGGCUAACUCUGUGCCAGCAGCCGCGGUAAGACAGAGGAUGCAAGCGUUAUCCGGAAUGAUUGGGCGUAAAGCGUCUGUAGGUUGUUUAAAAAGUAUUCUGUCAAAGAUUAGGGCUUAACCCUAGAUAGGCAGAAUAAACUUUUAAGCUAGAGUUUGGUAGAGGCAGAGGGAAUUCCCGGUGGAGCGGUGAAAUGCGUAGAUAUCGGGAGGAACACCAAAGGCGAAGGCACUCUGCUGGGCCAAUACUAACACUGAGAGACGAAAGCGAGGGGAGCAAACAGGAUUAGAAACCCGAGUAGUCC
rnacentral:rRNA from 1 species